rnacentral:rRNA from 1 species
UACGGAGGGAGUUAGCGUUGUUCGGAAUUACUGGGCGUAAAGCGCACGUAGGCGGCUUUGUAAGUUAGAGGUGAAAGCCCGGGGCUCAACUCCGGAACUGCCUUUAAGACUGCAUCGCUUGAAUCCAGGAGAGGUGAGUGGAAUUCCGAGUGUAGAGGUGAAAUUCGUAGAUAUUCGGAAGAACACCAGUGGCGAAGGCGGCUCACUGGACUGGUAUUGACGCUGAGGUGCGAAAGCGUGGGGAGCAAACAGG